GGCCAAGGCAAGAACAAAAGGGAAAAAGCAUAGAACAAACCCUAGAGAAGAAAAUCAAGAGAAAAUUCAUUGGAUUUCAAGGAAUUAAGCAAGUAAAGGUAAAAUUUCUUAAUUCUAGCUUGUGAUCUACCUUUCCUAUGCAUUCUUUUUCAAUUACCAUGGUUAAAAUUCAAGAUCUCAUGAAGGAUUCAUGGCUGACCGAAUUUAGGGAGAGAAGAUUUGAUGAUUUAUUUGGUUAGAUUUCAAGGUAUCUUAGUGUUUUUAGUUGUUUGGUGAUGUUUAGCAUGAAAAACAAGCAAGAAAUUUCAUGCCCUUCACCCACACUCCUUGGCUGAAAUUUUCAAGAGAGAAAUUGGAUAAUGGACUUUGAUGAAUUUCAUGCUAUUUAGGUGUUUUUAGUUGUUUUAUGAUGUAAGGUGUAAAAAUCAAGCAUGAAAAUUACAUGUUCUACACUAAACCUUCAAUGGCCGAAUUUUACAAGGAAGAUAUUGAUGAUGGAUUUUUGUGAUAUUACAUAUUAUUUAACUUGUAAUUGAUGACUUGGAGUGUUGGAAGUGGAAUCAAGUUAAUUGGAGUUGAAUUGGAUGUAUUGGCCAAUUAACCGGUGUAUAGAUCGAAUUAGGCCAAUACCAUUUUAUUUCGAUACAUAAUUGAAGCUACGUAGAACACCAUAUUUAGAUAAUAAUCCGAACAUUUCGCAUCCCAUUUCAUGCAUUCAUAUAGAGCCUAAAUUAGUUUUAUAACGGUUUAGUACAAAUAUAGUAAAUUGCUUGUUGUGCAUUAUGUUUAGGUGGUGAAACUUCUGAUAAGGGUAAGGAGAUUGUACCCGAAGACCAGGACUAGGAGUACUUCGACUCCCGAUAUUGUGAGUAACCUUAUUAUCGUCUUAAUUAUCUAAAGUAGUUUUUAUUCGUUUUUGUGAUUUUAUAGAAAAAUGAGUUUAAAUGGUAAAUCCUUAUGUUUUAUAAGUAAAAUGUGAUUAAAUGAAAUGAGUUUUAUAAAUCAUUUUGAAAUUGAAUGAUGAUUUUAGAAAUUGAGUAAUUGGAGACUGUUUGAUUGUGUUGUAAAUUUAUGGUCUGAAUUGAAUGGCUUAUGGUGAUAUUGGCAUGAAUGGCUGAAUUGAAAAUUGUGUUGAAAUUGUAUGAACUGUUUGUUUUGCCUUAACAGGCUUGGUAGUAAUAUAAUUGCCAUGUCAUGCUGUUGAAACUUUUAUUGAUUUGGUGGGAUAUUGGUUAGUCACUGCAGUGGCGGGUUUUCGUGGACCAGCCUAUUAGAGAGGGGCACGGUAAACCCGGUUAUAUUUUACCUCGGUACGAGAGGCGCGAAGGGUAUCUCUUGAAGUAAAGCUUUAGAGUUCACGACACGCUAAACCACCACGUGAGGGUGAACUCAGCCAACGCCAAGGAACGACUAUGCUUUUAAACGUAAAAAUGUGUUUUAUGCAUAUAUGAACUUUUCUUUAACAGCAUUGGCAGACUCGGUUGGAUGCCCCGGCCAAGGUAUCCCCGAGAAUGAGUUUUGGCACGAGCCAAAUUUUUAAGAAAUUUAUAAGCCAUGUUGAUUAUUUGAGUGAAAUGAAAUUAUUUUAUUUAGUUGAAAUGAGUUUGAAACGUUAUGAAUCAUAGUACGAUGAACUAUUUUAAGUUGUCUCCAUUUACUCGAUUUUAGAUAUUUUAGAUAAUGUUUGUUUACUCACUGAGUUUAUAUAAACUCACCACCUUCCUUUCCAUUCAUUCUAGGAUCAGGACCGUCCGUAAAUAGUUGAUUAUGUCGAGGGUUAUUAUUGGACUCGCCUCCUUAGAAAUUGUAGGUCCACAACCUUUGUUACCUUUGGUCAUUCGGGGGCCCACACGUCAUUGUAAAUUUAAUUACAUACUCUGGUUAUCUUUGUUACUGUAUGUAUGGAUUUAUUUUGGUUUUACGCUACAAAAACUAUUUACUCAGAGUUCUAUAAAUAUUAUUUUAUAAGAAAAUGAAAUAUUUCAUUUAAUAUUUUUAUUUUAUUCUAUUAGC
rnacentral:lncRNA from 1 species